rnacentral:rRNA from 1 species
GGGCUUCGGCCCCGGUAAAGUGGCGCACGGGUGAGUAACACGUGGGGUAAUCUUCCCUCGAGCGGGGGAUAACAUUCCGAAAGGAGUGCUAAUACCGCAUAAGACCACGCCUUCGAAAGAAGAAGCGGUCAAAGCUGGCCUCUAUUCAUAAGCUAGCACUUGAGGAUGAGCCCGCGGCCCAUCAGGUAGUUGGUAGGGUAAUGGCCUACCAAGCCGAAGACGGGUAGCUGGUCUGAGAGGAUGAUCAGCCACACUGGAACUGAGACACGGUCCAGACUCCUACGGGAGGCAGCAGUGGGGAAUCUUGCGCAAUGGACGAAAGUCUGACGCAGCGACGCCGCGUGGGUGAUGAAGGCCUUCGGGUUGUAAAGCCCUGUGGGGAGAGACGAAUAAGUAGAAGUUAACACCUUCUAUGAUGACGGUAUCUCCUUAGCAAGCACCGGCUAACUCUGUGCCAGCAGCCGCGGUAA